CCUACGGGAGGCAGCAGUGGGGAAUUUUGGACAAUGGGCGCAAGCCUGAUCCAGCCAUGCCGCGUGCGGGAAGAAGGCCUUCGGGUUGUAAACCGCUUUUGUCAGGGAAGAAAAGGUUCUGGCUAAUACCUGGGACUCAUGACGGUACCUGAAGAAUAAGCACCGGCUAACUACGUGCCAGCAGCCGCGGUAAUACGUAGGGUGCAAGCGUUAAUCGGAAUUACUGGGCGUAAAGCGUGCGCAGGCGGUUAUGCAAGACAGAGGUGAAAUCCCCGGGCUCAACCUGGGAACUGCCUUUGUGACUGCAUAGCUAGAGUACGGUAGAGGGGGAUGGAAUUCCGCGUGUAGCAGUGAAAUGCGUAGAUAUGCGGAGGAACACCGAUGGCGAAGGCAAUCCCCUGGACCUGUACUGACGCUCAUGCACGAAAGCGUGGGGAGCAAACAGGAUUAGAUACCCUGGUAGUCCACGCCCUAAACGAUGUCAACUGGUUGUUGGGAGGGUUUCUUCUCAGUAACGUAGCUAACGCGUGAAGUUGACCGCCUGGGGAGUACGGCCGCAAGGUUGAAACUCAAAUGAAUUGACGGCGNGAGAGAGCGACGACGACGACGAGGGAGGAGG
rnacentral:rRNA from 1 species